rnacentral:lncRNA from 1 species
UGCUUCUCCCUCGCUAUUUGGUUAUGUUUGACUGUGUGUUUGGUGUUUUCAGUCACAGGAAGCGGUGAAGGUGUUUCCGACACACACGGAAAGAGAGAGAGAGAGAGAGAGAGAGAGAGAGAGAGAGAGAGAGAGAGAGAGAGAGAUCGCUUAUCGCUCGAGAAGAUAGAAUAGAGCGAGAGAGAGAGAGAGAGAGAGAGAGAGAGAGAGAGAGAGAGAGAGCAGCACAAGUGAAAGAAGGUUAGCCAUUAGCUACUGAAGAAAAUGGCGAUCACGCAGGAUGAAUGCCUCCCCUCGUAGAUGCUGCAAACGCGUUACAUUUCUUUAGCCUUACAGUCGGCGUUCCCUUCCACUCUGUUGCACUUUAUACUUCAAUGAGAGAUUUGGAAUUGGAAGCUGUUGCCACCAAAGAAACUGAAGCAUCUUAA